rnacentral:lncRNA from 1 species
GGGUACCCGUGUUGGGAUACAGCUCAGGAAAGCGAGGUUUCGAAUCCGCGUUUAUCGUCACGGUGGCUCAUCGGCGCCUGGAAUAUUCUCCUUAAAGCCAGUGGCCGAGCCCAGCUCCAUUUUCGCGUGUUAGUUUUAUUCACCGUUCAGUUAUUCAGGUACGUGCAGUAUACACAGUUUUUAAGCGGAGCCCAUCUCAGGACGCGGGUGUUGCUCAGGUGGACAGAACUGCGGUCGCCCGCAGCAACUUCAACACCGCGACCGGCGGCUUCGCUCGAUCACCGGGGGGGGGUUUCUUUGCCAGUUACGUAACUUCUUGGCGUUAUUUUAACUUUGGCAGAUGUAAAAUGGCGGGUAAAGGUGUCAUUCUUUUUGAAUCGUGUUUAAAAGCGGUCAGUGUCGCCUCACACCGCUGUCGCGCCGGGGACCGCCCGGGGGGGGGCAGCCUGACACCCGGAGCCGCUGACCUGAUUCGUUCACAAACUUCUUGUCAUCCAGCACAAUCAUACAUAUCGUUAGGAUUAAAAAAAUUAAAUAUGGAGGCUGAAGAGUGUGCCGCCACAGAUCCUCCCCCAGCUGUUUACGGAAAGGAAGAGCAAGGCGUGGACCGCCUCAGCCGGGGGGCGAGGGUGACCUGGCCGGGGGUUCAAAGGUCACGGCGGCGGGAGCGGGGCGUGUGGAGGUGUCACCCGCGCCUGGAGCCCCAGUGGGCGGGUUUUUGGAAACGGGAAGACGGGACCAAGUGCGUUUUUAUUCGGAAGUUAAGCCUUUUGACGGACGAACCUUUUUUUUGUUGUUGUUGUUCGUUAUCCGAACACGUUUCUUGAACCAAGAAUAACUGCACCUGUCCAGUUUAUAACAUUUGGUUUCGUGAUUUCGGGAGUUCAAGGUCCCGGCCCGGAUCCGGCGGUCUAGUCGGAUCUGGACUUUGACAUGACAUUUGUGCUUGAAGAGGCUUCUGUCUUCCGCGUGGAAGGCGAGGCGUGGGUCGCAGAAACCCUUCAGAAUAUUAGAAACGCAGCUCCUGGAAACACCGCGAGUCACGCGUGUUCGCGAGUCGUGCCGGACUGCAGCCGGUGACGGAGAGAUCUGUGCCGCUUCACGUUGUGGUCAGUCCAGGGCUCUGGGCGGCUGCAGCACCGGUACCGGUACCGGGCGCCCCGGAGCCGCUCCUGACAGCGCCUGCAGGGCACCGCCGGGGAAACAGUCCGAUGCCUCUUGCAGCGUCUCAGGUUUUCCGGUCGGAGAAGAUACUUCUUAUGGUUUAUUGUCGAGUACAGCUGUGAGCUGUUCUGUUACUGGUACUGAACCCGUUUACAAGCUGGGAAUCUCC